AGUAAAGUCAGCUAAUUAAGCUUUCGGGCCCAUACCCCGGCAAUGUGGGUUAAAAUCCCCCCUUUACUA
rnacentral:tRNA from 1 species